rnacentral:rRNA from 1 species
GCUUGUCUCAAAGAUUAAGCCAUGCAUGUCUAAGUAUAACUCUUUUACUUUGAAAACUGCGAACGGCUCAUUAUAUCAGUUAUAGUUUCUUUGAUAGUCCCUUACUACUUGGAUACCCGUAGUAAUUCUAGAGCUAAUACAUGCAUACAACCCCAACUGCCUGUGCGGACGGGGCGUAUUUAUUAGAUCGAAACCAAUGCGGGGUAACCCGGAAUAUGGUGAUUCAUAAUAACUUUCGGAUCGAUUUAUCGAUGCAUCAUUCAAGUUUCUGCCCUAUCAGCUUUGGAUGGUAGGGUAUUGGCCUACCAUGGCUUUAACGGGUAACGGAGAAUUAGGGUUCGAUUCCGGAGAGGGAGCCUGAGAAAUGGCUACCACAUCCAAGGAAGGCAGCAGG